UCAAAUUUUUCCUGUUACAGCAAAAGUUGUCUAGCGAAAAUUUAGCAGCAGCACAGUUUACCUGAAUUGUAUUCUUGUAAAGUUAAGUAAUGGAUGCAUAAUAUGCAAAAUAAUCAGAGUUCUCAUCUUCAGCUAGCGCAGUGAAGAUUUAUUGCACCUACGAGAUUUGGACUUAGUACUUUCUUCUCAAAGCAAAAAGGUAUGUAAAGUUUCAACAGGUUCAACAUGCAAAAUAAGUGCUCUGUGAACUCAUCUUUGAUCAUGUUGGAAAGACUGUGUGAUCGAAGCACUGAAUGAAAGACAAUAUUACUCAGCUCCCAAGCUGAGAGGAAUCAGAUCUGUGUCUUAAUUGUAUAAUGCUUCUGUCUGAGUACCCAUUGGAUGGAUGGACAGGUGGACUGUCUUCUGCUAGAAUUCCUCAUCAUCAUCUCCUUGCAUGCUUCCUUAAAAACCAAUAAAAUAACGCUGAUUUUUCACACUAAUUCAUUAUUAAUACUUGUUUCUCAUUGUGUGGAUGGCUAAUUGGCAGUAUCACAAUGCAGCCAUCACUACUCUGUGUUAUAAAUUUUACAGUUUCUAAGCCAAGUUUUGGGUCAACCUGCCAUUAGGUAAACAAUGUUCUGCUUAAAAACAUUUUUUUCUCUGCCCCAUACCUUUGUAUGUCUACAAUCCUACUGUUUGGCACAUACCUUUCAGCACAGCAAGAAGUAUAUAUGUGCUGGUAAAAUAAUAUGACAAUUUUGUGUCUGUGGACUCAGACUUCAGUCUGCUGAAAAACAGAACAUGAUAUGUUCAUAACUUGUUUCCUAUGUAUUGAAUUGAUCCAGCCUUUAACAGCCCUUUGGGAGAUAUAUAUGUGCCUCAGAAUUAAGUUAAUACAAAAUAGUAUGUAUAUAUAUACACACAAUUGCUGUCUGAAAAAAUUUCUCCAUUUACUUCCUUCCCAACCCUGCUGUGAGCCUCAUCUCCUGAAAAGUCUCCUUCCAGCUGAGAAAAGAUGGAGGUUCCUUCUCCUAUUGCCCAUAAACUUCAUGCUGAAUAAAAUAUGGAGGAGGAGGAGGUAGCUGAAGAGGAAUGUGAGGCCUGUUCACUCCUACAUACACAUCAGGAGCUGGGUGUGUUGCCACUGCAAUGCUUUCAGCUUCUGCCAUCCUGGGUAGUUCAGAAGUCCUGCUUUGCAGCACAAAUCCCUGGAUCAGAUUCUGAGAUGACUCAGAUAUGAAUUGGGAGAUUUCUCAGCCCUUAAUUAAGCCCUAAUCCUGCCCCAUAGAAGUCAAUGGGAGUUUUAGCAUUGGUGUCAAUGGGAGUAGGAUCAAGCACUUAAGUGACUGGAGAGUCCAAUCUUACAAACAGAGCCUUUCUUCCACUAUUUAUACCACACCUGGAGUGAUGCUGAUACGGUCCAGAGGGAGUCUCCCCCAGUUCUCUUUGACAAAAGGGUUGGUUGUCAUGAUUCAAGGCAUCAGGGGUUGGAAGAUAUGAAGCAUGAAAACAGAGAGAACACUGGGUCUCAAAAAAAUAAAAGGUUUCUGGGAAAUAUAUAGUAGGUAGAGAUGGCUGAAAUUUUUGACAGAAAAAUAGUCCCAUCAAAAACAGAAUUU